UACGUAGGGGGCUAGCGUUGCCCGGAUUUAUUGGGCGUAAAGAGCGUGUAGGCGGCCAGGUAGGUCUGGUGUGAAAACUCGAGGCUUAACCUCGAGAUGUCAUCGGAAACCAUCUGGCUAGAGUCCGGAAGAGGAGAGUGGAAUUCCUGGUGUAGCGGUGAAAUGCGCAGAUAUCAGGAAGAACACCAAUGGCGAAAGCAGCUCUCUGGGACGGUACUGACGCUGAGACGCGAAAGCGUGGGGAGCGAACAGG
rnacentral:rRNA from 1 species